AAAAUGAUAAGCCAAGCUGGAUUUCGAAUCCUAUCCAGCUUGAUCCUUCUUCUAAGUUUAAAUACCCUAUUUGGAAGAUCUGAAAAGGAAAAUACUUUUGAAACAUCGCCUAGGUGUAUUUAUGUUGUAGAAGUAAAUGUUACUACUUCAUGGAUAUUGGUUACCAGCUGCGGUGCUCAUAUUUGUUCGAAUAAGAAUGGCC
rnacentral:lncRNA from 1 species